rnacentral:rRNA from 1 species
GACGAACGCUGGCGGCGUGCUUAACACAUGCAAGUCGAACGGAAAGGCCCUGCUUUUGUGGGGUGCUCGAGUGGCGAACGGGUGAGUAACACGUGAGUAACCUGCCCUUGACUUUGGGAUAACUUCAGGAAACUGGGGCUAAUACCGGAUAGGAGCUCCUGCUGCAUGGUGGGGGUUGGAAAGUUUCGGCGGUUGGGGAUGGACUCGCGGCUUAUCAGCUUGUUGGUGGGGUAGUGGCUUACCAAGGCUUUGACGGGUAGCCGGCCUGAGAGGGUGACCGGACACAUUGGGCCUGGGAUACGGGCCAGAGUGCUACGGGAGGCAGAAGUGGGGAAUAUUGCACAAUGGGAGGAAGCGUGAUGCAGCAACGCCGCGUGCGGGAUGACGGCCUUCGGGUUGUAAACCGCUUUCGCCUGUGACGAAGCGUGAGUGACGGUAAUGGGUAAAGAAGCACCGGCUAACUACGUG